rnacentral:rRNA from 1 species
CCAAUAGCGUAUAUUAAAGUUGUUGCAGUUAAAAAGCUCGUAGUUGAAUUUCAGGCCUGGCUGGACGGUCCGCCCUUCGGGUGAGUACUGUCUGUGGUCGGGUCCUACCUUCUGGCGAAGCGUCAUGGCCUUAACCGGCCGUGGCGGGGAACCAGGACUUUUACUGUGAAAAAAUUAGAGUGUUCAAAGCAGGCAAUCGCUUGGAUACAUUAGCAUGGAAUAAUGGAAUAGGACAAUGGUUCUAUUUGUUGGUUUCUAGGACCGUUGUAAUGAUUAAUA